AGUCUAACCUUCGGGGGGACGGUUACCACGGUGUGAUUCAUGACUGGGGUGAAGUCGUAACAAGGUAGCCGUAGGGGAACCUGCGGCUGGAUCACCUCCUUAAU
rnacentral:rRNA from 1 species